CGAAAAAUAAAAAAUUGAGUGAAUAAUGAAAAUGUUUUGCUUCAUUUCGCGCCAAGCCACCCUUACUGUGCAAAUAUUUUUACUCAUACCCAAAGGAUUACUCAUAACGGAUGUGGCGAGAGAAAGAAAAAGGGGACACGAAAGAGCGUCUCGACGUCUCGGCGACUAUGCGGCAGCCGUCACUCUCGUGUAUAGACACAUUACACUUGACACGUAUUUAAACGUCUCCGAACCGCAAAACGGUGACCGGAUCGGAAGAUACUUUCAAUGUCGCGAUCACACGAUCGACAACCUCCGGAGCACAAUAUUACUUACGUAAAUAAGCAAUAACGAUCCGUGACUUUCUCACUCACCGAGAAAUUGGGCAUAAAAAAUCAGCGUUGGCUCAUCAGAAUAGUAUUUCGAACAAUUUUCUACUCGCGUCAAGGAAAAGCAGGUGAAGCGGAGGAAGGAUCAAUUAUCGAAGCCAGCCAAGCGUGGUGGAACACAUCGAUGUUGGUGCCCAGACUCGAUACUACGACACGCAUACACCCACAUACGCGUGAAUCGUACUCGUAUAAGUAAUGGGAUUACCUUAAUUAGCACGAGGAAAUGAAUCAAGUACGACGGAUGGGCGUCACAGAGCAGUGGCAGCGGGGGGAAUUUGUCAGUUUCGAAAUCUCGAAAAUUCAACGUGUCGGAAUGGUCGUACCUGUAUUUGAGGACGCGACGAUCCUAAUUUCGAUUUUUGACACGUCCUCAAAUACUGAAUGGCACCGUACGACCCGUUGCGAUCGCCGAUUAAGGCCUCGUGGUAAUUAAUACCGGUACUGCGUCGGGUGUGCAACUCAGUCUGGGGAUAGAAAUCGAUACACCGUGUCCCGAGGGAUAUGGAAUGAAACUCGAGAUUCCGUGGUUCUCUAUCGCGAAAGCUUCCACUUUUAGUGCAUCGUAAUUAUGAAAGAUGCGAGCAUCGGGAGGUCUGAGAAGCCCCGGAUUUCUUUUGGAUUGAUAUAUGAAAAUCGAUCGAGCCGAACUUUGUAGAGAAUCGAAGAACAUUGGGGCUUAAACAAUUCUUCAAAAUCUCACAUUUAUCAUGAAAAUAAAAAAUCCUUGAGAAUGAGCUUCAAUGGCCUAAAACGAUUUGUUUGUUGGACAGAAUAAUUCAAACCGUUGCAAUUCCGUAGAACGGCAUUAAAUCGCAACCGUUGUCAUCGGAGCUGCUCGGCGAUGAUGGCAGUGUGAGAGAGUGCAAUGAACAAUGAUCGCUGCACAUGAGUACCAGUCGAGCUUGGACGACGCUGAUAAGCGACUCGAGUGCAUCUCUCUUUUUUAUUCAUCACGCGCACUCACACCAAUUCACGUGGAUGCACUUGUCGCGACUAGAGUUCGUAACUGGCGACAGGAAGUCGUAUCUGUCGUGAAACUCGCCAUGACAACAAAGGAGCAACAACGGUGGCCUGGACCCGACUUCGUAGCGAAAAUUACGCUCGCAUAAUCUCGCGAAUUUUCUCAUUUCCAAGAUCCAAUAUUUCGUGGUUUUUAUAGUCGAACUUCAAAUUCCUAUAAAAUAGUGUGUGAACCUGUGAUUCUCGAU